GAUCCGUUGAAAGCAGAUUGUUUUCCUCCAAAACACUGACUGGGAAACGUGCGUUUUGCACUGAUACAACUAAUCUGCCUGCUCUCCGUUUGAGAUUUCCCGGGUGUAUGUGCUGUUCACUGAAAUGAUGCACCUUCCUCUACCCUCCUCUACCCUCCUCUCCUCUCCUCUACCCUCCUCUCCUCUCCUCUACCCUCCUCUCCUCUCCUCUACUCUCAUCUCUUCUACUCUCCUCUACUCUCCUCUCCUCUACCCUCCUCUACUCUCCUCUACUCUCCUCUACCCUCCUCUACUCUCCUCUACUCUCCUCUCCUCUACCCUCCUCUACCCUCCUCUCCUCUCCUCUACACUACCCUCCUCUACCCUCCUCUACCCUCCUCUACUCUACCCUCCUCUCCUCUACCCCCUCUACUCUCCUCUACCCUCCUCUCCUGUACUCUCCUCUACCCUCCUCUACUCUCCUCUACACCCUCUACUCUACCCUCCUCUCCUCUACCCUCCUCUACUCUCAUCUACCCUCCUCUACCUCUCCUCUACCCUCCUCUACUCUCCUCUCCUCUACCCUCCUCUACACUCCUCUCCUCUCCUCUACCCCCUCUACUCUCCUCUACCCUCCUCUCCUCUCCUCUUCCCACUCUACUCUCUUCUCCUCUACCACCUCUACUCUCCUCUACUCUCCUCUCCUCUACUCGCCUCCACCCUCCUCUCCUCUACUCUACCCUCCUCUACUCUCCUCUACCCUCCUCUACUCUCAUCUACCCUCCUCUCCUGUACUCUCCUCUACCCUCCUCUACUCUACUCUCCUCUACCCUCCUCUACUCUCCUCUACUCUCCUCUCCUCUACCCUCCUCUACUCUCCUCUACUCCUACCCUCCUCUACUCUCCUCUACUCUCCUCUACCCUCCUCUACUCUACUCUCCUCUACCCUCCUCUACCCUCCUCUACUUCCUCUCCUCUACUCUCCUCUACCCUCCUCUACCCUCCUCUACUCUCCUCUCCUCUACUCUCCUCUCCUCUACUCCUCUACCCUCCCUCCUCUCCCCUCCUAUCCUCUACUCUACCCUCUUCUACUCUCCUCUCCUCUACUCUCCUCUACCCCCUCUCCUCUCCUCUACCCUCCUCUCCUCUACCCCCUCUACUCCCCUCUACCCCCUCUACUCUCUUCAAACCCUCAUCUCCUCUACCCCCUCUACUCUCCUCUACCCCCNNNNNNNNNNNNNNNNNNNNAUUUGAAUUGAGAGAGAAAGAGAGACAGAGACAGAGAGACAGAGAGAGAGAGAUAAAGAGAGACAGAGUGAGAGUGAGACAGAGAGAGAGAGAGAGAGAGAGAGAGAGAGAGAGAGAGAGAGAGAGAGAGAAAGAGAGACAGAGUGAGAGUGAGACAGAGAGAGAGAGAGAGAGAGAGAGAUAAAGAGAGAGAGAGAGAGAUAAAGAGAGAGAGAGAGAGACCGAGAGAGAGAGAGAGAGACCGAGAGAGAAAUAGAGGGUGAGGGGUGAGAGAGAAAUAGAGUGGGAGGGGUGAGAGAGAGAGAGAGAGAGAGAGAGAGAGAGAGAGAGGUUGUGACUCCCAGGAAGAGUUAGAGUGCCUCCUUGUGGUGUUGAAAGGAAGUGAGGAGG
rnacentral:lncRNA from 8 species